rnacentral:rRNA from 1 species
GCUGGCGGCGUGCCUAAUACAUGCAAGUCGAGCGGACAGAUGGGAGCUUGCUCCCUGAUGUUAGCGGCGGACGGGUGAGUAACACGUGGGUAACCUGCCUGUAAGACUGGGAUAACUCCGGGAAACCGGGGCUAAUACCGGAUGCUUGAUUGAACCGCAUGGUUCAAUUAUAAAAGGUGGCUUUUAGCUACCACUUACAGAUGGACCCGCGGCGCAUUAGCUAGUUGGUGAGGUAACGGCUCACCAAGGCGACGAUGCGUAGCCGACCUGAGAGGGUGAUCGGCCACACUGGGACUGAGACACGGCCCAGACUCCUACGGGAGGCAGCAGUAGGGAAUCUUCCGCAAUGGACGAAAGUCUGACGGAGCAACGCCGCGUGAGUGAUGAAGGUUUUCGGAUCGUAAAACUCUGUUGUUAGGGAAGAACAAGUACCGUUCGAAUAGGGCGGUACCUUGACGGUACCUAACCAGAAAGCCACGGCUAACUACGUGCCAGCAGCCGCGGUAAUACGUAGGUGGCAAGCGUUGUCCGGAAUUAUUGGGGCGUAAAGCGCGCGCMGGCGGUUUYUUWARUYUGAUGUGAAARCCCCCSGCUCMACCSGGGAGGGUCMUUKGAAACUGGGGAACUUGAGUGCMGAAGAGGRGAGUGGAAUUYCMCSUGUAGCGGUGAAAUGCGUAGAGAUGUGGRGGAACMCCMGUGGSGAAGGSGACUYUYUKGUYUGUAAMUGACGCUGAGGCSCGAAARCGUGGGGAGCGAACMRGAUUAGAUACCCYGGUWGUYCMCSCCSUAAACGAUGAGUG